CAAUUUGCUUCUUUUUCAGUUGAUUUCAUAGGUGGAUUUGAUUCUUACGGCUAUCAAGGCCCACAGAAGACAUCUCAUUUACAGCUACAGCCCAUGUAUAUGUCAAAGUGAAAACGGUGACUGCUCAAGGUGGGCUGGAGGACCUGUCAAAGAAAAUGCUUUGGGAUUGCCCUCUGGUUUUUCAAAGAGCAAAAAAAUUCCAGUUUUUGUGCUAAAAAAAAAA